rnacentral:rRNA from 3 species
UUUGGUUAUUUGAGCGACUGGGAACCACCCUUCCCCAUUCCGAACAAGGACGUGAAACCGGUCAGCGCCGACGAUACUCAUCAGGGGACAAUAGGUCAUAGCCAGGG